CAAAGUUGAUCGUGUUUAUGACGUCGAAUAUCGACGUCAUAAACACCAAAGUUGAUCGUGUUUAUGACGUCGAAUAUCGACGUCAUAAACACCAAAU